UUCAGCUCAACAUUUAUCAGACGUCUCACUUGGGAUGUUGAUCCAUUGCUCAACAAAACAACAUCUUUGACGGCUCAGUACACGGAAUGGGUUUCAGCUCAUAUGCUGUGGUGGCGUGUGACAAGUUCACAGUGGAAUAUUAAACCACUCGCACCAAAAGUGUUAUUUAUUACUGAGAAGGAUGAAUGGAGUUGCUGACUGAUCUGGAGGGGAGACCCCGUGCUCCAGGUUCCAUCCCAUAAUACUCAUGAGGAAAUGCAUUGAUGGGAUUUUCAUCUCAGCAUAACCCCGACAUCAAACAGAGAGCGUGUUCCAG